AAUGCAGUUUGAAAAUCAAACCACAGCUGUUCCUGUCUACAAGCAGUGAGAAAAAAUUUUCGUCACUUUCCAGUACUACUUGUAUUGUUGAGUCACUUCCACCUUCUAAAGAAAUUGCAGUGGCGUAACGAUGCAGACUGAUCAUCCUGUUCCUGCUGUGCCACAGUUCUCAGCUGUGAAGUCCGUUGUUGGAGCUGACCUUUAUUUCAACAGCAAAGAUAAUAACAGCUUGUAGUUGGAACAUGCUGCCUGCUGAUGCCCUCCAGGAGAAGGUGGAGGAGGUUGCUGGUGUGGCACAACCUAUGAGGUGUGGACCAUGUGUGGGGAGCUGCUCUUUGUUCUGGUGAGGCACUUCAGUCAUCUCUUCAGGCUGCUCUUCAGCUCUUGUGCAUGGAGUUGCUGAGCGGUCGGUGUUGGCUGGGUGUUUUCCUCUGAUUGAUGCCAUCUGUACCUAUGGAUGUGUGCUUCA